UAUCAUUAAUUUUUGCAUCACUCAGACUGUCUUCUACAUUCUGCCUUUCAGCUGCCAGCUUUGGGUCUUGCCUAGCACCACUUUCUUUCUUCAGCUGAGCAACAAGUACCCACAUAUUUGCUAAAUCCGGGUCCUUGUGAUCAAUAUCAUUGAUUUUUGCAUCACUCAGACUGUCUUCUACAUUCUGCCUUUCAACUGCCAGCUUCGGAUCUUGCCUAGCACCGCUUUCUUUCUUCAGCUGAGCAACAAGUACCCACAUAUUUGCUAAAUCGUUUUCCAGGGCUGCCUCCCUUUUCUUUCCCUCUUCAACCUUUUGCCUGUACUCGUCUUCCACAACUUCUUUCUCAGCCAAGACAGCCUCUAGAGC
rnacentral:lncRNA from 1 species